GCAUGUUUUCUGCAAAGGCUCAACUAACUCCAAGUUUGUUCUCUUUGGAAAGCCAUAUUCCUCAUAUACAAUGACUACACCAGUGUUUCAGCAUUUUACAUGAACCCAAAUUUAUCCACUGUGUGCUUUCUUUACAGUAAAUAUGACAGCUAAAAGUUUAAAAAAUAACAACAUUACAUAUAUGCUGCUUUGUUUACAUUUGAACGAGGUAGUGCUGCAUUUAAAUCAGGGUGCAGACAGUUCUGCACAGUGUCUUCCAGAUUUCAACAAGACAACAGGACGACUUGAAACGAGCAGGACAUCGAGAUUAAUCUCAACUUUAACCUUUCAAGAAAACCCAAAGAAGCCAACAUUUUUGAGUCUUUUUUGACAAGAUAAAAAUGAACAAUCAAAGUUCAUCCUCAUCCUCAUCUUCCUCUGAGGAGAGUACUACAAGGCAUCCUUUCGAAGUCCCAGAAGACUACAAGUUGAUGCAAAACCUGGAACAUGGAAGCUGUGGAUUUGUGCCGGAACGUAUGACAAACAACACUGAAGAGCACGAGGCCAUAAAGGUGUCCGAACGGAACUGUCAAGACCAUGAGGUGAAAAUCCUGAACAAACCCAUGAGCCACAACUCAAAGGAGAAGGACAGAACCCCCCCCAGUGAUAUCCUCGACCAUCCCUCUAUCACUAGAAGCGACCUCAGCAGCAGCUCCCCCACCAG